GUCUACGGCCACACCACCCUGAACACGCCCGAUCUCAUCUGAUCUCGGAAGCUAAGCAGAGUCAGGCCUGGUUAGUGCUUAGAUGAGAGACAGAGACAGAGGGGGUGGGGGUAGAUA
rnacentral:rRNA from 1 species